UUCACAAAACGGCAAUAUUGUAAUUUGCGAUUAUCUUGCACGCUGCAAGUUUCGGAUUAAUUAUUUUCUGCAGCACAAUUGAUUAAUAUUAAAUUGUACUUUUAAAAGUAUAAAGACUAUUGAAUACCGGAGGCAAUAUGGUGGCUAUACCUUAUUUAUUCAACGAGAUCGAACGCAUUUUUCAAAAUACGCCGCUCUAUGUGAUUGUCUUAGAAGCCUUUCUACUUCUUUCGGUCAUAUGGUUGCUACUUUUCAAGCGUAAUGGGCGCGGCAAGCGUUAUAGCAAAGAAGAGGAAGAAGAAAUUAUUUCCAAAUACGAACCCGAACCACUCAUAGCUGAAACCGAUCCGGAUCAUCCGCUACUGAAAACGCGCUUGGUACAAUCGAAAGUUGGCAAACGUGUUGUGGUUGAUGGACAUGAUUGUCUUAAUUUGGCAACCCAUAACUAUUUGGGAUUACUAGAAGAUGAAAAAAUAUUAGAGGAUGCUUGUGCCACUUUGAAGAAGUACGGAGUAGGUUCAUGUGGUCCACGUGGCUUUUAUGGAACUAUGGAUGUGCAUUUGGAUUUGGAAGAUCGUUUGGCAAAGUUUAUGGGAAUGGAAGAGGCAGUGGUCUAUUCGUAUGGAUUUUCUACUAUAGCAAGUGCCAUACAAGCGUAUGCAAAGCGUGGUGACGUGAUAUUUGCCGACGAAAAGGUCAAUUUUGCUAUACAAAAAGGUUUGGAUGCAUCGCGUAGUACAAUUUACUACUACAAGCAUAAUAAUAUGGCUGAUUUGGAGCGCUUAUUGAUCGAACAACAACAGCGCGAUAUAAAGAACCCAAAUAAAGCCGCGAAAACUCGCCGCUUCAUAGUUGCCGAGGGUAUUUACAUGAACACUGGCGAAAUAUGCCCGCUUCCCGCAUUGGUAGCGCUGCGUGCCAAGUAUAAGUUGCGUUUGUUCCUAGACGAAAGUAUUUCCUUCGGCACACUUGGCAAAACCGGGCAUGGUCUCACCGAGCACUUUAAUGUCGAUCUCGUUGAAGUUGACCUCAUUAUAGCGGGCAUGGAAAAUUCUUUGGCCACAAUUGGUGGCUUCUGUGUUGGCUCGCACUUCAUUGUCGAACAUCAGCGACUUUCUGGACUCGGUUAUUGCUUCUCAGCUUCACUGCCACCACUACUAACACAAGCAGCAAUCUCAGCGCUGGAUCGUUUUGAGCGCGAGCCGCAAAUGUUUUUGGAGCUACAGGAAAUAUCGCGUAAAGUGCAGGAGGAAUUCAACAAAUUCUCAAAAUUAAAAUUGUGCGCAAGCGAACUUUCACCAGUCAAGCAUUUGUAUAUCGCCGAGCAACGUGAGAAUGCUGAUAAGGAACGUGAGUUGCUCACCGAAAUCGCCAACAAGUGCAUUGCACGCGAUAUCGCUAUCGUUGAGGCGCACUAUUUGGAGAACUUGGAAAAGCAACCAAUACGUCAUAGCAUACGGAUUACUGUGAACCGCUUACUCACCGCCAACGAUAUCAAACAAGCUUUCGAUGUAAUUGAAAGUGUGGCUAACGAAGUGCUGUAAGCUUAAUAGUUUUGGUUUUUACAACAGACCGUCGUACGCAAAUGUCAAGGCUUAUGACAUAGUCUGCUUAUAUAAUAAGUCAAACAUUACUAUUCUACUGCAACAUGUUUUUAAGUGCAUAAUUUGGCACUUAAAUUAAGACACAGAUACAGGCUUAGAUUGGAAAUUGGCGUCACAUAAAAUUGUAAUACAUAAAGUUUUUUCUGCACUGGAAUGUGCAAGCACACACGUAAAUAUAAAAAAUAGUAUUGUAAUCGUUUUACGUUUAAACUUAAGUUUUUUUAACUACUGUACAAUAAAUUUUCUAAAUAUGCGGAGUUUACGAGUUCAUGCACAUUCCACGUUACAAAUUUGGCCAACCACCUAUUUUUAAUAGCAAGUCGAAAAAGUCAUGAUUUACAACCAAAGCUGAGACACACAAUGUAUUAUACUUAGCAUAUAACUCUUCGAUGUGUGAAAUGCUUGUUAUUUUGUGCGUUCGAUUCAAAAGGCGUCUUAAGUCAAAUUUAAAAGAAAUAUCAAUGUUUCUUAAAUAAAGCCAUUAGACACUUGCAGACGCGGAAUAAAUUUAAAAAAUAUUUAAAAAAAUUAUAAUUGUAAUUUUUUAGCAAAUCGAAUAAUAAAUUCUUUUGCAAAUGAAA